GAUGAACGCUGGCGGCGUGCCUAAUACAUGCAAGUCGAGCGAACGGACGAGAAGCUUGCUUCUCUGAUGUUAGCGGCGGACGGGUGAGUAACACGUGGAUAACCUACCUAUAAGACUGGGAUAACUUCGGGAAACCGUAGCUAAUACCGGAUAAUAUUUUGAACCGCAUGGUUCAAAAGUGAAAGACGGUCUUGCUGUCACUUAUAGAUGGAUCCGCGCUGCAUUAGCUAGUUGGUAAGGUAACGGCUUACCAAGGCAACGAUGCAUAGCCGACCUGAGAGGGUGAUCGGCCACACUGGAACUGAGACACGGUCCAGACUCCUACGGGAGGCAGCAGUAGGGAAUCUUCCGCAAUGGGCGAAAGCCUGACGGAGCAACUCCGCGUGAGUGAUGAAGGUCUUCGGAUCGUAAAACUCUGUUAUUAGGGAAGAACAUAUGUGUAAGUAACUGUGCACAUCUUGACGGUACCUAAUCAGAAAGCCACGGCUAACUACGUG
rnacentral:rRNA from 1 species